UACGUAGGGUGCAAGCGUUGUCCGGAAUUAUUGGGCGUAAAAGAGCUCGUAGGCGGUCUGUCGCGUCGGCUGUGAAAACCUGGGGCUCAACCCCCAGGCCUGCAGUCGAUACGGGCAGACUAGAGUCCGGCAGGGGAGACUGGAAUUCCUGGUGUAGCGGUGAAAUGCGCAGAUAUCAGGAGGAACACCGGUGGCGAAGGCGGGUCUCUGGGCCGAAAUUGACGCUGGAGGAGCGAAAGCGUGGGGAGCAAACAGG
rnacentral:rRNA from 1 species